rnacentral:rRNA from 1 species
CCUACGGGUGGCAGCAGUAGGGAAUCUUUCACAAUGGGCGAAAGCCUGAUGGAGCAACGCCGCGUGCAGGAUGAAGGCCUUCGGGUUGUAAACUGCUUUUAUAAGCGAGAAAUAUGAUGGUAACUUAUGAAUAAGGAUCGGCUAACUACGUUCCAGCAGCCGCGGUCAUACGUAGGAUCCGAGCAUUAUCCGGAGUGACUGGGUGUAAAGAGUUUCCUAGGUGGCAUAAUAAGUAGCUAGUGAAAGCUGGUGGCUCAACCAUUCAGACUAUUAGUGAAACUGUUAAGCUCGAGACCGUUAGGGGUAACUGGAAUUUCUAGUGUAGGAGUGAAAUCCGUAGAUAUUAGAAAGAACACCGAUAGCGUAGGCAGGUUACUAGAACGGUUCUGGCACUGAGGCACGAAAGCGUAGGGAGCAAACGGGAUUAGAUACCCCUGUAGUC